rnacentral:rRNA from 1 species
UACGUAGGGGGCAAGCGUUGUCCGGAUUUAUUGGGCGUAAAGAGCGUGUAGGCGGCCAGACAGGUCAGCUGUGAAAACUCGAGGCUCAACCUCGAGACGUCGGUUGAAACCGUCUGGCUAGAGUCCGGAAGAGGAGAGUGGAAUUCCCGGUGUAGCGGUGAAAUGCGCAGAUAUCGGGAAGAACACCCGUGGCGAAGGCGGCUCUCUGGGACGGUACUGACGCUGCGACGCGAAAGCGUGGGGAGCGAACAGG